GUGGGGAAUCUUCCGCAAUGGACGAAAGUCUGACGGAGCAACGCUGCGUGAGUGAAGAAGGUUUUCGGAUCGUAAAGCUCUUUCGUUAGGGACGAACGUGCUCUUUGUGAAUAAUGAGGAGUAAUGACGGUACCUAAAUAAGAAGCCACGGCUAACUACGUGCCAGCAGCCGCGGUAAUACGUAGGUGGCAAGCGUUGUCCGGAAUUAUUGGGCGUAAAGCGCGCGCAGGCGGGAUAUCAAGUCUGUCUUAAAAGUGCGAGGCUCAACCUCGUGAGGGGACAGAAACUGGUAUUCUUGAGUGUCGGAGAGGAAAGUGGAAUUCCAAGUGUAGCGGUGAAAUGCGUAGAGAUUUGGAAGAACACCAGUGGCGAAGGCGACUUUCUGGACGAUGUCUGACGCUGAGGCGCGAAAGCUAGGGGAGCGAACGGGAUUAGAAACCCGAGUAGUCC
rnacentral:rRNA from 1 species